UACGGAGGGAGCUAGCGUUGUUCGGAAUUACUGGGCGUAAAGCGCACGUAGGCGGCUUUGUAAGUUAGAGGUGAAAGCCCGGAGCUCAACUCCGGAAUUGCCUUUAAGACUGCAUCGCUUGAAUCCAGGAGAGGUGAGUGGAAUUCCGAGUGUAGAGGUGAAAUUCGUAGAUAUUCGGAAGAACACCAGUGGCGAAGGCGGCGCACUGGACUGGUAUUGACGCUGAGACGCGAAAGCGUGGGGAGCGAACCGG
rnacentral:rRNA from 1 species